rnacentral:miRNA from 1 species
GGCUGAUGAUGAUGACGAUGGUGGUGGUGGUGGUGGUGGUGGUGGUGGUGGUGGUGGUGGUGCCUCCACUGAUGUUGCCUCUGCUGCUGUGUGUCUAGUCGACCGUCGUCGUCGUCGUCGUCGUCAUCGUCAUCAUCA